UUUGCUAAUGUUGCUUUGAUGUCUAAUUAUAAUUAAUAAUGAAUCUUAAAACAAAUUGUUAACUUCAACUAAAUUAGAUGGCACCUCAGUUGCCGCUUGAAUCAUGAUUAUCUUCAAACUGUGUUUCUUAUUCCUGGUUCAGGAUAGUUCAUCAAAAAAAUUUCUUGUUGAAACGGUAGAUGAAUAUUUUGAUACUUCUCCCCCUCCAUAUGGUGAACAAGCAGAGGACCCUGUGGAACCAGUAGCACCAAUUCAUCGUGGAAAAGGAGUAUGCCAGUCCACCCUACCCUGUCAAGAUGAUUUCUGGAUGAUUUCUGGAUGAUUUCUGGAUG
rnacentral:misc_RNA from 1 species